GCCGAGCGCCUCCCUCUCGCUCCGCACAACCAAACAGCUCCACCCCGGCUCCCGCCAACCGCCGCCUCACGGUCCCCCAACCCCGCUGUGCAGGGAGCUGCAGCCUCCGUUCCGGCCCAAUCAGAACGUUCGCUGCCCGCUCCCCAAACCAGCCGCUGGACCCUCCUCUGGCCUCGCGCCACCGCACCUUCAGGCCACGCCUACCCCUUUUAAAGGGCGUUUAACCCCCCCCCCUCCCGCCGAGGGUUGUAUGGGUGUGGUGAGGGCUCCCCUCGAGUCCCCACGCCCCGAAUGGAGAGAAGGCUGCGCAGCGGGAGCGGGAGCCAGAUAAUGGGUGUUGACACGGGAAAGAAGAGGACCCUGUAAAGUGGAGAAAGAAGCGCAGAAAAUCCAGCCGGGAGCAGGCGCAGUCGUUGCAGGGCCGAGCUGCGGCCUGAGACCAUCAACUGCACCAAGACGUCAUCAGAACAGUGGCGUGUGCGCCUACCAGACUGAGAACAAUAAUCGCCAGGGCAUCGCAGCCUGAUGUACCAACCUCACCACAGCAAAGCUCACAUGUGGUUCAGCCCUGAAAGAAGUUGGGGCUAAGGACUGUCGCCCCCCCCCCCCAUGCGGAAUACUGACAUAGCCUAUAUCGCACCGCCCCCCUCCCCCGUGACUCAUAGAGACUCCACAGCCGCAGGUGACACUAGCCAAACUUCUGCCACACGCCCUUCCCCUCCCACGCAUUAGCCACGAUUCCUGGUGCAGGGCUCCAAUGUGUUGAUUCAUUUGCUUCUCCUACUCUAUAGAGAUCAACUAUUUAUUUCAGAAGGUGAAGAAAGCUAGGAGGGGAGAGGCUGUUCUAGAUUUGAUUUCGACAGAGGGACGAACUGGUUUUGAACAUGAAAGUGGAAAGCAGCUUGAGUGAAAGUGAUCAUGAAAUGGUACAGUUCAUGAGUCUAAGAAAUGGCAGGAGCCACAACAGCAAAAUAAAGACAACAGAUUUCAAGAAGGCAGACUUUAGCAAACUCAGGAAGUUUGUAGGGCUAAGGUCCCACCAAAGUGGAAAUCAAGAUGGACCCAUAACUAGGAUGCCUCCAGAUGAUACAGAUUUAAUGAAUAAGCCCCUGGAAGUACGUGCAUUCAUCUUGUAGAUGAUGAAGCCAGUCAGCUCAGUUCCUAACAGUCAACCAUCGUAUCUGGAAAAAGAUCUCAGUGCCUCUGCAACAGCCCUGGGAACACCCAUGAUUAGUGUGCAUGUAGCACAGGUGUUUUCUACCAUCAGUCCUCCAAAGAUUCUCAAGAUUAAACCUGAGUUGAGGUAUAAUCUACCCCAUCCCAUCAAGGGAAAAGGAGCGGUUCUUUCUAUAUCCCGGCACAGGUUAAGAGCAGAUGUAGCAUGUUCAUAGCUUGACCCACAAACACACCAUCCUUUAUUAGAGUGACAGGAUAUGAACUACUAAUAAAAUGAGGUUAAAAAGUUUGGGAAACAAGUUAGGAGAAACUGAUAGGAUUAGAAAGGGAAAGCAAAGAGAUAAGAGGUGUGGAAUAGAAGGAAUACAGGAGAUUUGGGGAAGCAAAAAGUGGGUGGCUGCAGGUAGGCUGAGCAGUCAAUACAUUGCUGCUGGAGCUAUAUUUUGUACAGCAGAAUUUGAUAGCUCAAGCAUACGUCUCAUAGGCUGAAGCAGCAGCAUGGUCAGAAACUCUAAAGCUUUGUCUACACUAGCACUUUUGUCCACCCAGGGUGUGAAAAAACACACACACCCCCCUUUUGUUUCACUGACAAAAGUGCUGGUAUGGACAGUGCUAUGUUGGCAGAACGGCUCUCUCCUGCUGGCAUAGAGUGGCUACACAGGAGACCUUACAGUGGCACAGUGUAAGGUCCAUAGUGUAAACAUAACCUCUGGAGCACUCUGAUAGGGUUUGUAGCCUCCAUAGGAGUAGUGCUUUCAAGCUCUUCCAUCAAGGCAUGAAGGUACACAAGGUGGAGUAAGAGCCAAAGUUGUAGCAAGGUCUAAGGAAACAGCCCUCUGUCACCUGACUAGAAACCUAUUGCUGACCCUCCUAAGGGCCAGAAUUCUUCCAUUAUGUCCCUCUGCAGACAAAGGGUUCAGCUGUGUUCCAUGCUGGGGUACAACCCAAGCAGCAAACAUUUCCAAUUCCUGCCUCCCACUGCAUCAGAAUGGAAACUACUGCUCUCUGCCAGGACACCAGCUAAAACUUCCAAGAGAGCACUGCUACUCCAGUUUCAAUUCUCCAGUCACAACUGCUGUCCCCACAACUGGAGAAAGGAGGGAAAUGAACUCAGUUCUUCUGUCACAGCUUCCUUAUCGAGGCUAACUCUUGAUGCAAUAACACCUCAAUGCAACACUGCUCCUCCCGGGACACCACAGAACUCCUCAUUCAGCUGUGUCUCCACUGAGGCUUUGGUACAUCAGGGGCUCCCUAUGACAGAAAUUUCAGCGAAGCCAAUGAUCUGCUGAUGCUUCAUUACAGAAGAACUGGCAUACACUAGCCCAAGACCCCAUCCACAACCAGACAUGUCAAAC